UACGUAGGGUGCAAGCGUUAAUCGGAAUUACUGGGCGUAAAGCGCGUGUAGGCGGUUCCGUAAGUCCGCUCUGAAAGCCCAGGGCUCAACCCUGGGAGGCGGGUGGAUACUACGGAACUGGAGUACGGAAGAGGAGAUUGGAAUUCCUGGUGUAGCGGUGAAAUGCGCAGAUAUCAGGAGGAACACCAACAGCGAAGGCAGAUCUCUGGGACGUUACUGACGCUGAGACGCGAAAGCGUGGGGAGCAAACAGG
rnacentral:rRNA from 1 species